UACGGAGGGGGCUAGCGUUGUUCGGAAUUACUGGGCGUAAAGCGUGCGCAGGCGGUUUUGUAAGCCAGAUGUGAAAUCCCCGGGCUUAACCUGGGAAUGGCAUUUGGGACUGCAAGGCUGGAGUUUGGCAGAGGAGACUGGAAUUCCCGGUGUAGCAGUGAAAUGCGUAGAUAUCGGGAGGAAUACCGGUGGCGAAGGCGGCCUUCUGGACCAUAACUGACGCUGAUCCGCGAAAGCUAGGGGAGCAAACGGG
rnacentral:rRNA from 1 species